rnacentral:rRNA from 1 species
UACGAAGGGGGCUAGCGUUGCUCGGAAUCACUGGGCGUAAAGGGUGCGUAGGCGGGUCUUAAGUCAGGGGUGAAAUCCUGGAGCUCAACUCCAGAACUGCCUUUGAUACUGAGGAUCUUGAGUACGGGAGAGGUGAGUGGAACUGCGAGUGUAGCGGUGAAAUGCGUAGAUAUCAGCAGGAACACCCGUGGCGAAGGCGGCUUCCUGGAUCACCCCUGACGCUGAGACGCGAAAGCGUGGGGAGCGAACGGG